AGAGUUUGAUCAUGGCUCAGAAUCAACGCUGGCGGCGCGCUUAACACAUGCAAGUCGAACGAGAAAGGGGAGCAAUCCCUGAGUAAAGUGGCGUACGGGUGAGUAACACGUGGAUGAUCUACCUCUUGGUGGGGAAUACCUCUGGGAAACCGGAGACAAUACCGCAUAAGCUCGGAAGAGGAAACCCGCAAGGGGCCGAGAGAGGAGUCCGCGGCCGAUUAGCUAGUUGGUAGGGUAAAAGCCUACCAAGGCGAAGAUCGGUAGCCGGCCUGAGAGGGCACACGGCCACACUGGCACUGAAACACGGGCCAGACUCCUACGGGAGGCAGCAGUGGGGAAUCUUGCACAAUGGGGGAAACCCUGAUGCAGCGACGCCGCGUGAGCGAUGAAGCCCUUCGGGGUGUAAAGCUCUUUCGACGGGAACGAUAAUGACGGUACCCGGAGAAGAAGCUGCGGCUAACUACGUGCCAGCAGCCGCGGUAAUACGUAGGCAGCAAGCGUUGUUCGGAGUUACUGGGCGUAAAGAGUGCGUAGGUGGUGCCCUAAGUCUGUUGUGAAAUCUCCCGGCUUAACUGGGAGGGUGCGGUGGAAACUGGGGUGCUUGAGUGUGGGAGAGGUAAGCGGAAUUCCUGGUGUAGCGGUGAAAUGCGUAGAUAUCAGGAGGAACACCGGUGGUGUAGACGGCUUACUGGACCACGACUGACACUGAGGCACGAAAGCGUGGGUAGCAAACAGGAUUAGAUACCCUAGUAGUCC
rnacentral:rRNA from 1 species